GACGAACGCUGGCGGCGUGCUUAACACAUGCAAGUCGAACGGAAAGGCCCUGCUUUUGUGGGGUGCUCGAGUGGCGAACGGGUGAGUAACACGUGAGUAACCUGCCCUUGACUUUGGGAUAACUUCAGGAAACUGGGGCUAAUACCGGAUAGGAGCUCCUGCUGCAUGGUGGGGGUUGGAAAGUUUCGGCGGUUGGGGAUGGACUCGCGGCUUAUCAGCUUGUUGGUGGGGUAGUGGCUUACCAAGGCUUUGACGGGUAGCCGGCCUGAGAGGGUGACCGGCCACAUUGGGACUGAGCGACGGCCCGGCCUCCUCCGGGCGGCAGCAGUGGGGAUUCUUGCACACUGGGCGGGAGCCUGAUGCCGCACCGCCGCGUGCCGGAUGACGGCCUUCGGGUUGUAAACCGCUUUCGCCUGUGACUAAGCGUGAGUGACGGUAAUGGGUAAAGAGGCACCGGCUAACUACGUG
rnacentral:rRNA from 1 species